GCCCGAAUGGCGGAAUUGGUAGACGCGCAUGAUUCAGGGUCAUGUGUCCGCAAGGACGUGCAGGUUCGACUCCUGUUUCGGGCA
rnacentral:tRNA from 1 species